rnacentral:rRNA from 1 species
ACGCGUAUCCAACCUUCCGUACACUCAGGGAUAGCCUUUCGAAAGAAAGAUUAAUACCUGAUGGUAUGAUGAGAUUGCAUGAUAGCAUCAUUAAAGAUUUAUCGGUGUACGAUGGGGAUGCGUUCCAUUAGGUAGUAGGCGGGGUAACGGCCCACCUAGCCAACGAUGGAUAGGGGUUCUGAGAGGAAGGUCCCCCACAUUGGAACUGAGACACGGUCCAAACUCCUACGGGAGGCAGCAGUGAGGAAUAUUGGUCAAUGGACGAGAGUCUGAACCAGCCAAGUAGCGUGAAGGAUGAAGGUCCUACGGAUUGUAAACUUCUUUUAUAAGGGAAUAAACCCUCCCACGUGUGGGAGCUUGUAUGUACCUUAUGAAUAAGCAUCGGCUAACUCCGUGCCAGCAGCCGCGGUAAUACGGAGGAUGCGAGCGUUAUCCGGAUUUAUUGGGUUUAAAGGGAGCGCAGACGGGUCGUUAAGUCAGCUGUGAAAGUUUGGGGCUCAACCUUAAAAUUGCAGUUGAUACUGGCGUCCUUGAGUGCGGUUGAGGUGUGCGGAAUUCGUGGUGUAGCGGUGAAAUGCUUAGAUAUCACGAAGAACUCCGAUUGCGAAGGCAGCACACUAAUCCGUAACUGACGUUCAUGCUCGAAAGUGUGGGUAUCAAACAGGAUUAGAUACCCUGGUAGUCCACACGGUAAACGAUGGAUACUCGCGGU